ensembl:snRNA LOC120097199 U1 spliceosomal RNA
AGCCAUACCUAACUGAUGAUCACAGAGGUGCUUUUCCCAGGGUGAGACUUACCCAUUGGAUUCCAGAUAUGCUGACCUCUAGGGUUUUCCCGAAUGUGGGAACCGGACUGCAUAAUUUGUGGUAGUGGGGGACUGCUUUCACGCUCUCCCCUG